GACGAACGCUGGCGGCGUGCCUAAUACAUGCAAGUAGGACGCAGUUGCGAACGGGUGAGUAACGCGUAGGUAACUACCUAUUAGAGGGGGAUAACAAUUGGAAACGAUAGCUAAUACCGCAUACUAGUAGAUGGACCUGCGUUGUAUUAGCUAGUAGGUAGGGUAAUGGCCUACCUAGGCAACGAAAGCUAGCCGACCGUGGACGGUGAUCGGCCAUGCUGGGCCUGAGAAACGGCCCAGACACCUACGGGAGGCAGCAGUAGGGAAUCUUCGGAGAUGGGGGGAACCCUGACCGAGCAACGCGGCGGGAGUGAAGAUGGUUUUCGAAUCGUAAAGCGCUGUUGUUAAGGAAGCGGUACUUAACCAGAAAGGGACGGCUAACUACGUGCCAGCAGCCGCGGUAAUUC
rnacentral:rRNA from 1 species